rnacentral:rRNA from 1 species
AACGAACGCUGGCGGCAUGCCUAACACAUGCAAGUCGAACGAGACCUUCGGGUCUAGUGGCGCACGGGUGCGUAACGCGUGGGAACCUGCCCUUAGGUUCGGAAUAACUCCCCGAAAGGGGUGCUAAUACCGGUUAAUGUCUUCGGACCAAAGAUUUAUGGCCUUUGGAUGGGCCCGCGUUGGAUUAGCUGGUUGGUAGGGUAAAAGCCUACCAAGGCGACGAUCCAUAGCUGGUCGGAGAGGAUGAUCAGCCACACUGGGACUGAGACACGGCCCAGACUGCUACGGGAGGGAGCAGUGGAGAAUACUGGACAAUGGGCGAAAGCCUGAUCCAGCAAUGCCGCGUGAGUGAUGAAGGCCUUAGGGUUGUAAAGCUCUUUUACCCGGGAUGAUAGUGACAGUACCGGGAGAAUAAGCUCCGGCUAACUCCGUG